UAGACUCUUUAAACAAAAAAUUGGCAAAUGCACUGCUUUUGUUUCCAUUCCAUCUUAAAACAUGCAUGGAGUUUCUUUUUUAAAAAAAGAGAAAAAACGAAUAUUAAAUGUGAGAUACAGAUGUCUCGUAAGGAUGUCAAAUCUCAUAAUCUCCCUCUUAAUAACUCAUGUUAUCAUCUCCGUCGUGCAUCUGAAUGAAGGGCUCUUCUUCUGCUCCUGCUUUGUGGUUCUGUACAUCUGUUAUUCAUACAGAGCUCUUCUCGUGAUUAAGUCGUCUCUUUGUGGACAUGGAUGUCCUCACUCUUCAGUGUUUUUGGACUUGCGGACAGAUCGUGCUGUGAAUCGAGGGUAUGUCUGCCAGCUUGACACACACAGAAGGAGAGCAUGACAUCAGGCCUUUGUCAUUUGGAAGAUCUAUUCAAGGAUUACAGUGGAGAAUGAGCCCCUGCCUGGAGGAGGCUUAUUUCACUGAAACCCUAGCUGUUCUCACUACCCAGUUUCUUUUUUUUCUCCAAGUACUUCUGGAAGUACGUAGCUUGGGAGAGUACUAUAGUUGGCAUGACGUAUACCUCCUAUUUCAAACCUGAGACUUUUACCCCCUUCAAUAUACAAAAGAGACUGUACGGCUGCAUAAUAAUAUCACAUGAGCUCCCUCAAAUAUGGUAAAAAUGGCAAACGCUGAUACUAUAAACUAUUUCUGGGAAGCUAAGAUUCGAAAAAUUUCAGCACUUCAUUUUAGCUCCAGAAUCUAAAUUUAGUUUAAAUCAGUAUACUAGAUUUUAUUUUUACUCUUAUAUACAGUUUAUGGACUGCCACAUAUACUGUACUUUUUUUUUCCCUUCAGCCAAUUAUUAAUACAAAUGUACAAGUUGUCAAUGGAGUAUAUAUAGAGUAUAAAGAGUUGUGACAUGUCACGAAAACAUUUAUGAUUCUGUGGAUGUCAUAUUUACAAGAAUUUCUUUUUCACAGCAGUACUGCAGAAAUAAAUGUUUGUUUUGGCAGGCAAAAUAUCAUGCAUCAAAUCACCUUAAACUGUUUAUUUAAAAAAAGAAAGAAAGAAAGAGAGGUUUUGUUUUCCUUCACUGCAAAACACAGACUGUAAUGGUGACAAGUCCGACAUUCCUUGCUGUUUGCUGAACUCUCUUUCUGUCUCUGCAGCACAGCGCAAGACAUUUCCUGUGGAUAUCAGUGAGCCAUUCUACACACAUACUGCUUCUUUUGUCUUGUCAUUUCCCCAAACAAGUGUCCUGUGAUUUUUUUGGGGGGGAUUUUAUGCUUCCUUUGUAUUCAUCACAGGUGUUUGUACGGCUUACUAGCAAAAGAUAUGAUACAUAAGCAGAAGCAUGUUCGGACAAUUUCAAGUAAAAUGUCACGUUUCGUUUUGACUGGGAUAUCAGCCAGAAAGAUGUAUGAAAAAUAAAUUACCAUGCCCGGAAUUGAUUUUGACAUUUAAACAUUUAAGCAGUAAUUUCUUCUAUGGCAUUUAUUACUGAAUUAAAAUUUUCCAAGCAAAGCUUAUUUUUUCAA